rnacentral:rRNA from 1 species
UACGUAGGGCGCAAGCGUUAUCCGGAAUUAUUGGGCGUAAAGAGCUCGUAGGCGGUUUGUCGCGUCUGCCGUGAAAGUCCGGGGCUCAACUCCGGAUCUGCGGUGGGUACGGGCAGACUAGAGUGAUGUAGGGGAGACUGGAAUUCCUGGUGUAGCGGUGAAAUGCGCAGAUAUCAAGAGGAACACCUGCGGCGAAGGCGGGUUGCUGGGCCGACACUGACGCUGAGGCGCGAAAGCUAGGGGAGCGAACGGG